AACGAACGCUGGCGGCAGGCUUAACACAUGCAAGUCGAACGGAUCCUUCGGGAUUAGUGGCAGACGGGUGAGUAACGCGUGGGAACGUACCCUUUGCUACGGAAUAACUCAGGGAAACUUGAGCUAAUACCGUAUGUGCCCUACGGGGGAAAGAUUUAUCGGCAAAGGAUCGGCCCGCAUUGGAUUAGCUAGUUGGUGGGGUAAUGGCCUACCAAGGCGACGAUCCAUAGCUGGUCUGAGAGGAUGAUCAGCCACACUGGGACUGAGACACGGCCCAGACUCCUACGGGAGGCAGCAGUGGGGAAUAUUGGACAAUGGGCGCAAGCCUGAUCCAGCCAUGCCGCGUGAGUGAUGAAGGUCUUAGGAUUGUAAAGCUCUUUCACCGGUGAAGAUAAUGACGGUAGCCGGAGAAGAAGCCCCGGCUAACUUCGUG
rnacentral:rRNA from 1 species